UAUAGUACUAUAAAACUGCAUAGUUUAAUAGUUAAAAUUUCGGUGGUAUAAGAUGGGCAUGCGUAGGAUUAGGUAGUUGGUGAGGUAACAGCUCACCAAGCCGACGAUCCUUAGGGGUUCUGAGAGGAUUAUCCCCCACACUGGUACUGAGACACGGACCAGACUCCUACGGGAGGCAGCAGUAGGAAUAUUGGUCAAUGGACGAGAGUCUGAACCAGCCAUCCCGCGUGCAGGAUGACGGCCCUAUGGGUUGUAAACUGCUUUUCUACGCCAAGAAACCCACCUACGUGUAGGUGGUUGACGGUAGCGUAGGAAUAAGCAUCGGCUAACUCCGUGCCAGCAGCCGCGGUAAUACGGAGGAUGCAAGCGUUAUCCGGAUUCAUUGGGUUUAAAGGGUGCGCAGGCGGGCUUGUAAGUCAGUGGUGAAAUACUGCCGCUUAACGGUAGAACUGCCAUUGAUACUGCAAGUCUUGAAUAUGGUUGAGGUAGGCGGAAUGUGUCGUGUAGCGGUGAAAUGCAUAGAUAUGACACAGAACGCCAAUUGCGAAGGCAGCUUACUAAGCCAUUAUUGACGCUGAGGCACGAAAGCGUGGGGAGCGAACAGGAUUAGAUACCCUGGUAGUCCACGCCGUAAACGAUGUUCACUCGCUGUCUGCGAUACACAGUAGGCGGCUGAGCGAAAGCAUUAAGUGAACCACCUGGGGAGUACGAUCGCAAGGUUGAAACUCAAAGGAAUUGACGGGGGCCCGCACAAGCGGAGGAACAUGUGGUUUAAUUCGAUGAUACGCGAGGAACCUUACCUGGGCUUAAAUGUAGAUUGCAUAGAGUAGAAAUAUUCUUUCCCUUCGGGGCUAUUUACAAGGUGCUGCAUGGUUGUCGUCAGCUCGUGCCGUGAGGUGUCGGGUUAAGUCCCAUAACGAGCGCAACCCCUAUCGUUAGUUGCCAGCGGAUAAUGCCGGGGACUCUAGCGAGACUGCCACCGUAAGGUGAGAGGAAGGUGGGGAUGACGUCAAAUCAGCACGGCCCUUAUGUCCAGGGCUACACACGUGUUACAAUGGCAGGUACAAAGGGCAGCUACACAGCGAUGUGAUGCUAAUCUCUAAAGCCUGUCCCAGUUCGGAUUGGAGUCUGCAACCCGACUCCAUGAAGUUGGAUUCGCUAGUAAUCGGAUAUCAGCAAUGAUCCGGUGAAUACGUUCCCGGGCCUUGUAC
rnacentral:rRNA from 1 species